rnacentral:lncRNA from 1 species
GGCGGGACGAGGACCGGGAGAAGAAGGGGCGCCGCGGCGGGAGGGCAGCAACAGAGCGCUGCGCCACCGAGCGAGUGGACGGUGGUGUCACGUGCCUGGAGGGAGGAGCUGGAAGGCUGGGGAGGAGCGCGCGCUGGCGUCCUCCCCGCUGCAGCCUCCCCCCCUCCACUCCCCCGCGGUGCUCCGGAGACCACGUGAGCUUCCCUCCCGGUCUAGCCUGGCCCCCUCGCUGACAACCGGCGCCUCUCGGUUGCCCUCUGGCCUGGCCUUUCGUGUCCGCAGAUCUCGGUUUCCUUCAGAGUCCUGCCUUCUGACAGGUGGCUCGAAGGCGUCCGGCAAGAAGAGCUCAGCUCGGCCUCUACUUGGUGAACCACUUCCCUGAUAAAAGUGUCACCUACCCCACCCCCGGAAGCUUGGGAUGAAGCGGUUUUUUAUAAUGAAGUCACCGGCCAUAUUUUUGCGAAGACUUCGCAUCAAUGGGAUGCACCUAUAGCCUAGUGUCUAAAGUUGAUUUGUUGAAACAUUAAAGCUAUUAUGUGUCAGCUUUCCUACACUAAAACAUUUUGCCACAUGACAAAUGUUGGUAAAUGUCAGUGGGGUAACUGUAACAUGAUUCACAAGCAGUUACAGAUGGUUCAUGUAAUCAGUUACAAAUGCUGGGCUUAAAAAAAAAAAUAGACUUGUACACACGGUACUGUCCUGAUGCCAGCCACUUAGACGUGCAGUUAGUAGAUCUACAGCACCUGCAUUUAUCACUCGCUGCUUGGAGACCAUAAUUAUCUGAGUCUUGCGAAUUUCGCAUUUAUAUUAAUACGUAGCACUUUUCAAUUAAACAUGAUUGUGUGGCCAUGUGGGUGGGCGCGGGUGCUCACCUCAUUACUAUAGUUGUGGAAAUCGGAUGACAACUUGAGUGAGUGCUCUCUUUCCAGGGUUCCAGAGAUAAACUCAGGUAUCAGGUAGUCAACUCUCACACAGCUAGCACCCGUCGAGUUAUAUCACCGGUUUAUACUUUUUACAUAAUUGAAUAGUAAUAUGAAGAGAAUAUUGAAGCGUAAACUCCACAUUAUUAGUACUUAAGUUUGGGAGAUUUUAUGAAAUUAGAGGAACUCUCUGAUACCAGGACAUUAAUGCUAGAGGAGAGACUCCAAACAAUAUUGAUUCCGAGGCUUAUUGGAACUAAGGAAUUGUAAUGAUGUCAUCACAUGCCGAAAACAACUGAGGCUCCUGACAUCCCAGCACCUAGAAGGCUGCAUCAGAAGAGUCAUAAGCAGAAUGCUAGUCAACUCUACAACGAUGGCAUUUCAGACACCUAAGGACUGGCCUGCUGUGAUGGUGGCAACCUACAUCCUUAAUACCAGCCCUUGAGAGGCAGAGGCAGGCAGAUCUUUGUGACUUCAAGGCCCACACGGUCUACACAGUGAGUUCCAAGCCAUCUACAGCUACAGACUGAGGCCCUGUCUUCAAAAAAAAAAACCAAGUAUAAAGCCAAGCCCAGUAGGCUAUCCCUGGCUUCUGAUGGGAUUUCUUGAUAU